GUGGGGAAUUUUGGACAAUGGGCGAAAGCCUGAUCCAGCCAUGCCGCGUGUGUGAAGAAGGUCUUCGGAUUGUAAAGCACUUUAAGUUGGGAGGAAGGGCAGUAAGUUAAUACCUUGCUGUUUUGACGUUACCGACAGAAUAAGCACCGGCUAACUUCGUGCCAGCAGCCGCGGUAAUACGAAGGGUGCAAGCGUUAAUCGGAAUUACUGGGCGUAAAGCGCGCGUAGGUGGUUUUGUAAGUUGGAGGUGAAAUCCCCGGGCUCAACCUGGGAACUGCCUCCAAAACUGCAUGACUAGAGUACGGUAGAGGGUAGUGGAAUUUCCUGUGUAGCGGUGAAAUGCGUAGAUAUAGGAAGGAACACCAGUGGCGAAGGCGACUACCUGGACUGAUACUGACACUGAGGUGCGAAAGCGUGGGGAACAAACAGGAUUAGAUACCCGGGUAGUCC
rnacentral:rRNA from 1 species